rnacentral:rRNA from 1 species
GAGCGGCGAACGGGUGAGUAACACGUGGGUGAUCUGCCUCGUACUUCGGGAUAAGCCUGGGAAACUGGGUCUAAUACCGGAUAUGACCUCAGGAUGCAUGUCUUGUGGUGGAAAGAUUUAUCGGUGCGAGAUGGGCCCGCGGCCUAUCAGCUUGUUGGUGGGGUAAUGGCCUACCAAGGCGACGACGGGUAGCCGACCUGAGAGGGUGACCGGCCACACUGGGACUGAGACACGGCCCAGACUCCUACGGGAGGCAGCAGUGGGGAAUAUUGCACAAUGGGCGGAAGCCUGAUGCAGCGACGCCGCGUGAGGGAUGACGGCCUUCGGGUUGUAAACCUCUUUCGACAGGGACGAAGCGUGAGUGACGGUACCUGUAGAAGAAGCACCGGCCAACUACGUGCCAGCAGCCGCGGUAAUACGUAGGGUGCGAGCGUUGUCCGGAAUUACUGGGCGUAAAGAGCUUGUAGGCGGUUCGUCGCGUCGAUCGUGAAAACCUACCGCUCAACGGUGGGCUUGCGGUCGAUACGGGCGGACUAGAGUACUUCAGGGGAGACUGGAAUUCCUGGUGUAGCGGUGAAAUGCGCAGAUAUCAGGAGGAACACCGGUGGCGAAGGCGGGUCUCUGGGAAGUAACUGACGCUGAGAAGCGAAAGCGUGGGUAGCG